GUAUGAAUGGUUGGAUGAGAUACAAGCUGUGUCAUAAAAAUUAAAAUUUGAAUUUACCUUUUUAGUCAAAAGGCUAAAAUAUGUUUAAAAGACGAGAAGACCCUAUAGAGCUUUAUAUAAUUAAUAUUUAAAUUAUUAAGAUUUUUUAAAUUAAGUUAUUUAUUUAUAUUUUGUUGGGGUGACAAUAAAAUUAAUAAAACUUUUAUUUUUAUUAUACAUUAAUUUAUGAAUAAAUGAUCCAGUUUUAUUGAUUAUAAAAUUAAGUUACCUUAGGGAUAACAGCGUAAUUUUUUUUGAGAGUUCUUAUCGACAAAAAAGAUUGCGACCUCGAUGUUGGAUUAAGAAUAAUUUUGGGUGUAGAAGUUCAAAGUUUAAGUCUGUUCGACUUUUAAAUUCUUACAUGAUCUGAGUUCAAACCGGUUUAAGCCAGGUUGGUUUCUAUCUUUAAUUAAAUAAAAUAUUUUAGUACGAAAGGACCAAAUAUUUAAAAAAUUAUUUUUAUUUUAUUAUUAAUGUUAUUAAUUUA
rnacentral:rRNA from 1 species